UAACUUACCUGGCAGGGGAGAUCCCAUGAUCCUCUGAGCCAAGCAAGUGUAAUUAUAGGGUGAGGCCUGCCCCUUGCACUCUAGACAGGCUGACCCCUGUGAGCUUCCCCAAUGCAGGAAACUCAGCUGCACAGUGUUGUGGUAAUGGAGGAUUGCGUUCUUGCUUUGCCUGUG
rnacentral:snRNA from 1 species